GCCCGGAUGGUGGAAUAGGUAGACACAAGGGACUUAAAAUCCCUCGGCAGCGAUGCUGUGCCGGUUCAAGUCCGGCUCCGGGCACCA
rnacentral:tRNA from 1 species